rnacentral:rRNA from 1 species
GACGAACGCUGGCGGCGUGCCUAAUACAUGCAAGUCGAACGCUUUUUCUUUCACCGGAGCUUGCUCCACCGAAAGAAAAAGAGUGGCGAACGGGUGAGUAACACGUGGGUAACCUGCCCAUCAGAAGGGGAUAACACUUGGAAACAGGUGCUAAUACCGUAUAACACUAUUUUCCGCAUGGAAGAAAGUUGAAAGGCGCUUUUGCGUCACUGAUGGAUGGACCCGCGGUGCAUUAGCUAGUUGGUGAGGUAACGGCUCACCAAGGCAACGAUGCAUAGCCGACCUGAGAGGGUGAUCGGCCACACUGGGACUGAGACACGGCUCGGACUCCUACGGGAGGCAGCAGUAGGGAAUCUUCGGCAAUGGACGAAAGUCUGACCGAGCAAACGCCGCGUGAGUGAAGAAGGUUUUCGGAUUCGUAAAACUUCUGU